rnacentral:rRNA from 1 species
AUAUUGAGAUCGGCCCCAUUUCUUAAUCCACUUCACACUUGUGCACAUUUUUCCUACUUUCCUUCGGGAGAGUUUGAAAAGCUCUUGUGAUUUUAAUCAAGUCCAGGAUGUGAAUCCAAUUUGAAUAAGUUGUAAAACAACUACAAACGGUGGAUCUCUUGGCUCUCGUAUCGAUGAAGAACGCAGCGAAACGCGAAAUGUAAUGUGAAUUGCAGAAUUCAGUGAAUCAUCGAAUCUUUGAACGCAUCUUGCACUCUCGAAUCACUAUCGAGAGUAUGCCUGUUUGAGUGUCGCGAAACUCUCAACCCCGCCUCAUGCUUUAUUGCGUGUGGGUAGCUUGGGCUUGGAUCAUGAUCUUUGCAGUAAUGCGCUAGCAGAACUGCUGGAUUGAAAUACAACAAGCUGAAUCUAUAUACUUGCGGCUUGACCUGUCGUUGUAAGCACACAAAUGCAUUCGAUGGGGACGCGAGAAAAUGGAAUGAGCUUUCCAAAUGUGUUACACUUUGCAGCUUCUAUUAACUUAGAGCUCUUAGUGCAUUCUGACCUCAAAUCAGGUAGGAUUACCCGCUGAACUUAAGCAUAUCAAUAAGCGGAGGAA